rnacentral:lncRNA from 1 species
GCAGGCACCAUCAUUGUAAUGGAGAAUGCAGGGGCAGCUCCCUACACAGUGUGGCAUUGAUGUGUGUAAACAGACAAGAUAAUGGGAGCUGAAGGUGGGUACUAAAUCUUUUGCACAGCAUAGCCAGAAAUUUCCAUCAUGGUCUCUAAACCUGUAGCAGAAUGGAUCUAAAUGGAGGAUGGAUGUAACCUGAACAGAAAGAAAUCUGGGGCUAGCCAUUCUCUCCCAAAGCAGAGGAAUGUGGGAGAAACAGAGUUGUGGAACUAGACUGUGGACCAGUGAAAGGUUUGAGGUCAGAUCUUUCAUGUCUGAGAUAGGUCCUGGUGCUACCAGCUGACCACCCCCCCAAAAGAGCAAGCCACAUAACUGUCACCCACAUUCAGUGUGUGUAAUUAGGUCCCAUGCAGGUUCCCCAGCUGCCAGUCCAUAGUCCAUGAGCUCCCACUAGCUCAGGUCAACUGUCUCUGUGGUUUUCCCCAUCGAAGCAAAUGCAGUGACCCACAGCCAAGCACUGGGCUGAACUCCUGGAGUUCAGUUGAAGAAAGGAAGGAUCUUAUGAACAAGGUUUGUUUCCUGAAAAAGCAGCAGACGGGAGGAAGAGGAGGACAUAGGCCUAAGACACAGAACAAGUCAGCCUGGAUUCCAGACCACCAGGUGCUAAACUGGGAAUCUGCGCCAGAGCCUAGGAGGGAAAGAACUGAGCAGCAGCUGCUGGCUCUCACUCCCCGCCCCGCGCAAGGCCAACCCCCGCCGGAUCGCUCCGGAUCGCUCUGUCCCAAGGCCAGCCAUCUGGACCAGCAGAAGAUAAGGCCGUUUCGCCUGACUAUUAAACCUUGAGAAAAUGCUGAUUUGAUGCUUUUCGCUUCUGUACUGUGCCUGUUUUCCCCUAUAAAAAGGACCCCCCUUCCGGGGCUCGGGGCUUGGCAAAACAGAAGCUAAGCCCCGGAUAUCCGUGUUAUUAAUAAAGC